rnacentral:lncRNA from 1 species
UCAAUUAGGUCAACUCCCUGUAAACUUUAUUAGUACCGUACUUCCUUCUCAACCCACGUUUUGUAUCUAGUCAUCAUCGCAUUCAUUAUAUCCAUCUUGAGAUCCCACCUCAUUAUCUUCUUUAGUUUAUCCCAUGUAUUUUCUGGGAGGUCGUUCGUCUUGAACGUGUCAAGCUGCAUCAAAUGAGGCUUUGUACUCAUAUCCAGCACACAAUCUGAAGGCGUUGUGCUAGUGUAACGACCUGAUGAGGUUUCUGCAAAUUUCAUGUAUAUCCAAAUAUCAGCAGGGUUUAGUGGUAGCUCGUAUUUUUUUAGAAUGAUGGUGACAACGAACCUCGCACUCCCAAACUCUGGGUGCUUUACUUCUCCGUCGUAUGUCGCGCACCAGCCGAUU